GUUUGGGCUUCGUUUAGGACCGGAAGCUCGAUGCUCUGAAUAUCCGUCCAAAUUUGUUCAACGUACUCCGUGAAGAACACUAGAGAGAUAACAGGGAAAAUCGACUCAGUGGAUACUGGAAUGUUGUGGCAAUCAUGAGUUUAAAGGAAUCAUCGUCAAGUCCAAGGAAGAGAUGGAUGGUCAGCACAGACUGCUGGAUUUCAGCCGGAUCCCCCUGAUCAUCUUACACCGAAUAGACCAUCCACAAAAUUAUGCCUAUAAGUGGGACAAAGUUUUAACGGACCAGCAGCUAUGUAACCAGAAGAGGAACUCCAGUUUAGAUCAGCAGGAACCACAACCUGUGCAGAUGAAAGAGGAUCAAGAUGAGGUAGAACAUCUGCGAAUAAAAGAGGAGCAGGAGGUAAUGGAACAUCCACAAACGAAAAAAGGAGAAGGAGAAACCUGAACGUGCACAGAUUAAAGCGGUAGAACAAGAACCUCCUGACUGGAUCAGUUGAGAUGAAGAGCAGCUUGUGUUGAAGAAGGAGACUGGUACCUUUAUAGUGACUCCUGCAUUUGAGGAAAAGUUUCACAGUGAUCCAGAACCAAACAGGAACCAACUCAUCUCCCAGAACUUUCUCGACAUCAAAAACCAAGAUCUUGAAGAAAGUGAUCUUGAAGAUUCAGAAUGAAGGAGAGAUGAAGAGAAACAAAGAAAAAAACAAAGUAAGAGCUGUCAGAAAACCAGACAGCAUAAAGACGACUCCAGAACUUCAAUACUACAAAGGCACAAGAAAAUUCACUCUGAAUUUAUAUUCUUGUAAAAUUUGUGAUAAAUGUUUUCUCAAAAUAGUUUCUCGACUAGACACAUGAGAACUUACACAGGUGAGAAGCCUUUCUCAUGUAUGACCUGUAGAAGAAGUUUUAGUCAAUAAGGUAAGUUAGUUUAUCACAUGAAAGGUCACAAAGAUGAGAAACCUUUCACUUGUAUUACUUGUGGAAAAAGGUUCAGUCACAAAAGUAUUUUAAUCAUUCACAUGAGAAUCCUCACAGCAGAGAAGCCUUUCUCAUGUAAAACCUGUGGAAAGGGUUUCACUCAGAAAAGCAGUUUAACUUAUCACCUUAGAGGUCACACAGAUGAGAAGCCUUUCUUGUGUAAUUUCUGUGGAAAUACUUUUAGCCAAAAAAAAAACAUUUUAAAUCAUCACAUGAGAACUCAUGCUGCUGAGAAGCCUUUCUCAUGCGUGGAAAAAGCUUCAGUCGAAAGGAGUAUUUAACUUAUCAUAUGAAAAGUCAUACAGGUGAGAGGCCUUUGCCAUGUGCUUCUGGAAAAGGUAUGGUCCAGAAAAUAGUUUACAGCAUAACGUGACACCUCACAUGUGUAAGAAACCUUUGUCCUGUGAAAACAAUUUCAGCGAAAGAUCUCAUUUAACACGCCACAUAAGAACUCACACAAGUGAGAAGCCUUUCUCUUGUAUGACCUGUAGAAAAAGUUACAGUGAAAAAAUUAGUUUGACUUAUCACAGGAGAAUCCACACAGUUGAAAAGGCGUAAUUUAAUAAAUGAUUCAAUAUUCUCACGUAUCAGUGUGCUGCAUAUCUAACUUUGUAGAAGCUGGAGUAAAUAAUAUCUAAUAACUUCAGUCCAUAACCUCUUUUUUUUAGUAAUAACGUGCUAUAAAUCUCUUCAAAUGAAAGAAUUUCAUAUUUUUUCUAGCAACUUUCCAAACAGUUUGGUUUAUCACAGUUUGUUCAUUAUUUAACAAGGGGGUGUGAUUAGUUUGUGCCAACGGCUGGUUUUGAUAGUUUUACUCAUUAUCUUUGUCUGAGAUAUAAACUUAUGUGAUCAUGUGAAGCAUUUCAGUUUGACAAAAACCAAAACAGAAGAAAUCUGUAAGGGAGCAAAUACUUUGUUAAGGCACCUUAUAGAUCUAAACAUGCUCCUACUUGAACUGUAGAGCAACAGUGCAGAUGUAUCUUAUGUGCAAAUAUGACAUAACAUUUUUUAUUGAGUAAUCGUAGUAUUAAGAAAUGUAAAAUAACAAGUGUAUGCAUAUUGCAUAAAAUGCUGUGCUAUGGUUUACUUGUGGCCAACUUUGUCUCUUCUGAGCAGACGUUGUUUAAUAAAAAGUUUUUCUUCUUAUAUGGC